rnacentral:lncRNA from 1 species
AUGGAGGUGAGAUAUCUGCAUUAUUAUCAGGAUUACAAGAAGAAACAACAACUAGAGGUGAGAUUGCUGUAUUAUUAUCAGGAUUACAAGAAGAAACAACAACUAGAGGUGAGAUAUCUGCAUUAUUAUCAGGAUUACAAGAAGAAACAAAUAGAGGUGAGAUAUCUGCAUUAUUAUCAGGAUUACAAGAAGAAACAACAACUAGAGGUGAGAUAUCUGCAUUAUUAUCAGGAUUACAAGAAGAAACAACUAGAGGUGAGAUAUCUGCAUUAUUAUCAGGAUUACAAGAAGAAACAACAACUAGAGGUGAGAUAUUUGCAUUAUUAUCAGGAUUACAAGAAGAAACAACAACUAGAGGUGAGAUAUCUGCAUUAUUAUCAGGAUUACAAGAAGAAUCAACAACUAGAGGUGAGAUAUUUGCAUUAUUAUCAGUAUCACAAGAAUAAACAACAACUAAAGGUGAGAUAUCUGGAUUAUUAUCUGGAUUAUUAUCAGGAUUACAAGAAGAAACAUCAACUUCAGGUGAGAUAUUUGCAUUGUUAUCAGGAUUACAAGAAGAAACAACAACUAGAGGUGAGAUAUCUGUAUUAUUAUCAGGAUUACAAGAAGAAACAACAACUAGAGGUGAGAUAUUUGCAUUAUCAGGAUUACAAGAAGAAACAACAACUAGAGGUGAGAUCUGCAUUAUUAUCAGGAUUAGAAGAAGAAACAACAACUAGAGGUGAGAUAUCUGCAUUAUUAUCAGGAUUACAAGAAGAAACAACUAGAGGUGAGAUACCUUCAUUAUUAUCAGGAUUACAAGAAGAAACAACAACUAGAGGUGAGAUAUCUGCAUUAUUAUCAGGAUUACAAGAAGAAACAACUAGAGGUGAGAUAUCUGCAUUAUUAUCAGGAUUACAAGAAGAAACAAAUAGAGGUGAGAUAUCUGCAUUAUUAUCAGGAUUACAAGAAGAAACAACAACUAGAGGUGAGAUAUCUGCAUUAUUAUCAGGAUUACAAGAAGAAACAACUAGAGGUGAGAUAUCUGCAUUAUUAUCAGGAUUACAAGAAGAAACAACAACUAGAGGUGAGAUAUUUGCAUUAUUAUCAGGAUUACAAGAAGAAACAACAACUAGAGGUGAGAUAUCUGCAUUAUUAUCAGGAUUACAAGAAGAAUCAACAACUAGAGGUGAGAUAUUUGCAUUAUUAUCAGUAUCACAAGAAUAA